UCAACAUUUCCCAGAUUUUGCAAUAUUAAACGGGGAGCGUUUGUGCCAAAUUUUAAGACAAGAAUUCUUCCUGCCAAAUUACAAAUUUCUCAAAAUGAGGGGUGUUCAACCAAAUUGCUGCCAGACCCCAUAAACAGGCACUAACAGCGCUGCUAUAAUUACACCUUAUUAUCUCCCUCACAGCCUUAUUUGAUUCACUGCCGGAUAAAAUCCUCGUCCCGGGUGUCACUAGCUGGCCUGUUUCUGAGGCUGAACAAUCACAUACUUCCCCUGCCUCAGUUAGUCCAACGAACUGUAUAAACUGCUGCCUUCCAUUCCAUUCUUUAGUUGAGCUCUUUCUGUAAAGCAACCCAAUCAGAUAGGUUAUUUUCACCCCCAGCUUCCCUAGGGACUGAAAAAUGAAGAUGAAAACAAACUUAUCAGAAUUGCAAGGAAAUUUUCUUCUUUGAAGAAAAAGAUUUAGGCAGAGAAACCAAAUUUGUUGUUUAACGGGAGCCCCUUAAGGGGAUUUAGCAUAGUGGGCUUGAAUGCAGUUAAACCAGCUUAAUCACUUUCUUUGUUCUGGCUCUUUGCAUUUAUUUAAUGUAUUUUAAGGAGAUUUGGCACAAACUAAACUAAUUUCUUCUAUGUUAGUGUAGUCUAUAUGUGAACCAUAAUAUUCGAACCAAUGUGAACCAAACAAAUUUCUAUGGAAUCCUUGACACUUUGAAGAAUUCUUUGCUAAACCGUUAUAUGUCCAAGAAUUUAAAAAUGGGAAUUUUGGGGCAAUUGGGUAGGGAAGGAC
rnacentral:lncRNA from 1 species